rnacentral:rRNA from 1 species
AAAGCUCAAAUUUGAAAUCUGGCGGUUCUUGAACCGUCCGAGUUGUAAUCUAGAGAAGUGUUACCUGUGCUGGACCGUGUACAAGUCUCCUGGAAUGGAGCAUCACAGAGGGUGAGAAUCCCGUCUUUGACACGGACUACCUGUACGAUGUGGUGCGCUCUCGAAGAGUCGAGUUGUUUGGGAAUGCAGCUCAAAAUGGGUGGUAAAUGCCAUCUAAAGCUAAAUAUUGGCGAGAGACCGAUA